GACGAACGCUGGCGGCAUGCCUAACACAUGCAAGUCGAACGGACUUAUAAGAGCUUGCUUUUUUCAGGUAUUGGCGGCCGGGUGAGUUACACGUUUGCAAUCUGCCUCUGAGCUGGAGACAGCUUCUGGUAACGGAUGGUAACACCCCAUCAAAUAUAAAUCUCGCAUGAUUGAUAUAUCAAUGAAAUUCGUUCAGAGAUGGGCUCGCGUCUGAUUAGAUAGUUGGUGAGGUAACGGCUCACCAAGUCGACGAUCAGUAGCCGGACUGAGAGGUUGAACGGCCACAUUGGGACUGAGACACGGCCCAGACUCCUACGGGAGGCAGCAGUGGGGAAUAUUGCACAAUGGAGGGAACUCUGAUGCAGCGAUGCCGCGUGGAGGAAGAAGGUUUUCGGAUUGUAAACUCCUUUUAUCAGGGACGAUAAUGACGGUACCUGAAGAAAAAGCGCCGGCUAACUACGUG
rnacentral:rRNA from 1 species